rnacentral:rRNA from 1 species
CUUUACUGUAGCCUGGUAUUGGGUUCGGGCUUUGACUGCGCAGGAUAGGUGGGAGGCUGAGAAGUGUGCCUUGUGGGGCACAUGGAGUCAACGGUGAGAUACCACUCUGUCAGAGCUAGAAUUCUAACCUUCACCCGUAAUCCGGGGAAGGAACCGUAUCAGGUGGGCAGUUUGACUGGGGCGGUCGCCUCCUAAAAGGUAACGGAGGCGCGCAAAGGUGUUCUCAGGCUGGUUGGAAAUCAGCCGUAGAGUGUAAAGGCAGAAGAACGCUUGACUGUGAGAGUGACAACUCAAGCAGGGUGGAAACACGGCCUUAGUGAUCCGACGGUAUGCGCGUGGAAGUGCCGUCGCUCAACGGAUAAAAGUUA